GGUGGUAUAGCUCAGUGGUAGAGCAUUCAACUGCAGAUCGAGUGGUCCCCGGAAAGAAACGCAGGUGUCUUCU